AUCCCUACGGGAGGCAGCAGUGGGGAAUAUUGGGCAAUGGAGGGAACUCUGACCCAGCAACGCCGCGUGAAGGAUGAAGGUUUUCGGAUUGUAAACUUCUGUCGCGAGGGAUGAAGAAUGACGGUACCUCGUAAGAAAGCCCCGGCAAACUACGUGCCAGCAGCCGCGGUAAUACGUAGGGGGCGAGCGUUGUCCGGAAUGACUGGGCGUAAAGGGAGUGUAGGCGGCCUUUUAAGUUAUGUGUGAAAGCCCACGGCUCAACUGUGGAAUUGCACAUAAAACUGGGAGGCUGGAGUGCAGGAGAG
rnacentral:rRNA from 1 species